rnacentral:tRNA from 1 species
GGGCGAUUAGCGCAGGGGUAGCGCACUUGCUCGACACGCAAGGGGUCGCUGGUUCAAAUCCAGUAUCGCCCA